GCAAGUCGAACGGACCGUACACGCAGCUUGCUGCGUGUAUGGUUAGUGGCAGACGGGUGAGUAAUGCAUAGGAAUCUGCCUAGUAGUAUAGGAUAGCCACUAGAAAUGGUGGGUAAUACUGUAUAAUCCCUGCGGGGGAAAGAUUUAUCGCUACAUGAUGAGCCUAUGUUAGAUUAGCUAGUUGGUGGGGUAAUGGCCUACCAAGGCAGUGAUCUAUAGCUGGUCUGAGAGGAUGAUCAGCCACACUGGAACUGAGACACGGUCCAGACUCCUACGGGAGGCAGCAGUGGGGAAUAUUGGACAAUGGGCGCAAGCCUGAUCCAGCUAUGCCGCGUGAGUGAGGAAGGCCUUAGGGUUGUAAAACUCUUUCAGUAGGGAAGAUAAUGACGGUACCUACAGAAAAAGUCCCGGCAAACUC
rnacentral:rRNA from 1 species